CCUACGGGAGGCUGCAGUGAGGAAUAUUGGUCAAUGGACGCAAGUCUGAACCAGCCAUGCCGCGUGCAGGAAGACGGCUCUAUGAGUUGUAAACUGCUUUUGUACGAGGGUAAACGCAGAUACGCGUAUCUGUCUGAAAGUAUCGUACGAAUAAGGAUCGGCUAACUCCGUGCCAGCAGCCGCGGUAAUACGGAGGAUUCAAGCGUUAUCCGGAUUUAUUGGGUUUAAAGGGUGAGUAGGCGGUCGGAUAAGUUAGAGGUGAAAUCCAGAGGCUCAACUUCGGAAUUGCAUCUGAUACUGUUCGGCUGGAGAGUAGUUGCGGUAGGCGGAAUGUAUGGUGUAGCGGUGAAAUGCUUAGAGAUCAUACAGAACACCGAUUGCGAAGGCAGCUUACCAAGCUACUUCUGACGUUGAGGCACGAAAGCGUGGGGAGCAAACAGGAUUAGAUACCCCAGUAGUC
rnacentral:rRNA from 1 species